AAAAAACAUAGCUUAUUAAAAAAUAAUAGGUGGGACCUGGUCAAUGAAGGAAACUUUAAAUUCAUGUCUUAUAAUGAGGAUAAUAAAGUAGCAUAAUAAAUUGGUAUUUAAUAGAUGCCUAGAAUGAAUGGUGAAACGAUUAUAAAACUGUCUUUAAUUUAUAAAAAAAAAAUUAAAAUAAUAGUUAAGAUUCUAUUAAAAAAAAAUUAGACAAGAAGACCCCAUAAACCUUUACUAUAAAUUUAUAAUAUAUAAAUUAGGUAGUUUAGCUGGGGCAGCUUUCUUUUAUAAAAACGAAGAACUAUAUGUUUAUUUUAUUUAAUUAACAAUAAAUAUUUAAUCGACCUUAUAAAUUUACUACGUUUAUAAUUUUUAGAUAAAAGGUACUUUGGGGAUAACAGCGAUACUAUAAGGAUAGAGAUGUAAUCAAACUUUAAAAUUGCGACCUCGAUGUUGAAUUUAAUUAUCCUAUAGCUGUAGAAGGUUAUAAAGGUUAGAUUGUUCAUCUAUUAAAAA
rnacentral:rRNA from 1 species